rnacentral:rRNA from 1 species
GUUUCCGUAGGAGAACCUGCGGAAGGAUCAUUGUCGUUUCCUAUUCGACAGACAAGAGAACAAGUUAUCCUUGGUCGCUAUAGCAGAAUGAGCUUUCACCUUUUAGGGGGUGUUGAUCUUUUUCUGCUGUUGACAUUGCGCAUGUUCGUCCCAAUGCGGUCGUACUUGUUCAUUGUCAAAACAACAAAAUCGGCGCUUUGAAGCGUCAAGGAACAAUAUUUUAAUGAAUGUAGAUGUGGCAACCAGUCCACAGCAUAUGUGGCCGGAUGCCUAUCUGCCUUCUAACCAAUGAUGACUCUCGGCAACGGAUAUCUUGGCUCCCGCCACGAUGAAGAACGUAGCGUAAUGCGAUACUUGGUGUGAAUUGCAGAAUCCCGUGAAUCAUCGAGUUUUUGAACGCAAGUUGCGCCCGAGGCCAUCCGGCCGAGGGCACGUCUGCCUGGGCGUCACACGUAGCAUCGCCUCCCAACAGAUUUUAUGGGAGAGCGGAGGAUUGGCCUUCGGUGUCAUCUUUGAAUGAUGCCGUCGGUUGAAAUUGCAAACCUUUCGAUUUGUAGUGAGGUACAAGCGGUGGACUUCCAUUUGGUUGCAUCUCACGUGAACAAAGGUAAUGGGACAUGGGGGUGAGCUUUCUUGCCUUCAGCUUUGCGACCCCAGGUCAGUCGAGACUACCCGCUGAGUUUAAGC